UCUGCUGGGCCAUUACUGACGCUCAUGGACGAAAGCCAGGGGAGCGAAAGGGAUUAGAUACCCCUGUAGUCCUGGCCGUAAACGAUGAACACUAGGUGUCGGGGGAAUCGACCCCUUCGGUGUCGUAGCUAACGCGUUAAGUGUUCCGCCUGGGGAGUACGCACGCAAGUGUGAAACUCAAAGGAAUUGACGGGGGCCCGCACAAGCGGUGGAGUAUGUGGUUUAAUUCGAUGCAACGCGAAGAACCUUACCAGGGUUUGACAUCCUGCGAACCUCUUAGAAAUUUGAGGGUGCCUUCGGGAAUGCAGUGACAGGUGGUGCAUGGCUGUCGUCAGCUCGUGUCGUGAGAUGUUGGGUUAAGUCCCGCAACAAGCGCAACCCACGUUUUUAGUUGCCAGCAUUUAGUUGGGCACUCUAGAAAGACCGCCGGUGAUAAACCGGAGGAAGGUGUGGAUGACGUCAAGUCAUCAUGCCCCUUACACCCUGGGCUACACACGUACUACAAUGCUACGGACAAAGGGCAGCAAACUCGCGAGAGCUAGCAAAUCCCAUAAACCGUGGCUCAGUUCAGAUCGUAGGCUGCAACUCGCCUACGUGAAGUAGGAAUCGCUAGUAAUCGCAGGUCAGCAUACUGCGGUGAAUACGUUCCCGGGCCUUGUACACACCGCCCGUCACACCAUGGAAGUUGGCCAUGCCCGAAGUCGUUACUCCAACCCUUGUGGAGGAGGACGCCGAAGGUGGGGCUAAUGACUGGGGUGAAGUCGUAACAAGGUAACC
rnacentral:rRNA from 1 species